rnacentral:rRNA from 1 species
CAGCAGCCGCGGUAACACGAAGGGGGCUAGCGUUGUUCGGAAUUAUUGGGCGUAAAGGGCUCGCAGGCGGUUUCUUAAGUCUGAUGUGAAAGCCCCCGGCUCAACCGGGGAGGGUCAUUGGAAACUGGGAAACUUGAGUGCAGAAGAGGAGAGUGGAAUUCCACGUGUAGCGGUGAAAUGCGUAGAGAUGUGGAGGAACACCAGUGGCGAAGGCGACUCUCUGGUCUGUAACUGACGCUGAGGAGCGAAAGCGUGGGGAGCGAACAGGAUUAGAGACCCCGGUAGUCCCUGUCUCUUAUAC